UUAAGCGACUAAGCGUACACGGUGGAUGCCCUGGCAGUCAGAGGCGAUGAAGGACGUGCUAAUCUGCGAAAAGCGUCGGUAAGGUGAUAUGAACCGUUACAGCCGGCGAUGUCCGAAUGGGGAAACCCAGUGUGAUUCGUCACACUAUCGUUAACUGAAUACAUAGGUUAACGAGGCGAACCGGGGGAACUGAAACAUCUAAGUACCCCGAGGAAAAGAAAUCAACCGAGAUUCCCCCAGUAGCGGCGAGCGAACGGGGAGCAGCCCAGAGUCUGAAUCAGCUUGUGUGUUAGUGGAACGGUCUGGAAAGUCCGACGGUACAGGGUGAUAGUCCCGUACACCAAAAUGCACAGGUUGUGAACUCGAAGAGUAGGGCGGGACACGUGGUAUCCUGUCUGAAUAUGGGGGGACCAUCCUCCAAGGCUAAAUACUCCUGACUGACCGAUAGUGAACCAGUACCGUGAGGGAAAGGCGAAAAGAACCCCGGCGAGGGGAGUGAAAAAGAACCUGAAACCGUGUACGUACAAGCAGUGGGAGCACCUUUAUGGUGUGACUGCGUACCUUUUGUAUAAUGGGUCAGCGACUUAUAUUCUGUAGCAAGGUUAACCGUAUAGGGGAGCCGCAGGGAAACCGAGUCUUAACUGGGCGUUAAGUUGCAGGGUAUAGACCCGAAACCCGGUGAUCUAGCCAUGGGCAGGUUGAAGGUUGGGUAACACUAACUGGAGGACCGAACCGACUAAUGUUGAAAAAUUAGCGGAUGACUUGUGGCUGGGGGUGAAAGGCCAAUCAAACCGGGAGAUAGCUGGUUCUCCCCGAAAGCUAUUUAGGUAGCGCCUCGUGAAUUCAUCUUCGGGGGUAGAGCACUGUUUCGGCUAGGGGGUCAUCCCGACUUACCAACCCGAUGCAAACUACGAAUACCGAAGAAUGUUAUCACGGGAGACACACGGCGGGUGCUAACGUCCGUCGUGAAGAGGGAAACAACCCAGACCGCCAGCUAAGGUCCCAAAGUCAUGGUUAAGUGGGAAACGAUGUGGGAAGGCACAGACAGCCAGGAUGUUGGCUUAGAAGCAGCCAUCAUUUAAAGAAAGCGUAAUAGCUCACUGGUCGAGUCGGCCUGCGCGGAAGAUGUAACGGGGCUAAACCAUGCACCGAAGCUGCGGCAGCGACACUAUGUGUUGUUGGGUAGGGGAGCGUUCUGUAAGCCUGCGAAGGUGUGCUGUGAGGCAUGCUGGAGGUAUCAGAAGUGCGAAUGCUGACAUAAGUAACGAUAAAGCGGGUGAAAAGCCCGCUCGCCGGAAGACCAAGGGUUCCUGUCCAACGUUAAUCGGGGCAGGGUGAGUCGACCCCUAAGGCGAGGCCGAAAGGCGUAGUCGAUGGGAAACAGGUUAAUAUUCCUGUACUUGGUGUUACUGCGAAGGGGGGACGGAGAAGGCUAUGUUAGCCGGGCGACGGUUGUCCCGGUUUAAGCAUGUAGGCUGGUUAUCCAGGCAAAUCCGGAUAAUCAAGGCUGAGGUGUGAUGACGAGGCACUACGGUGCUGAAGUAACAAAUGCCCUGCUUCCAGGAAAAGCCUCUAAGCAUCAGGUAACAUCAAAUCGUACCCCAAACCGACACAGGUGGUCAGGUAGAGAAUACCAAGGCGCUUGAGAGAACUCGGGUGAAGGAACUAGGCAAAAUGGUGCCGUAACUUCGGGAGAAGGCACGCUGGUGUGUAGGUGAAGUCCCUGCGGAUGGAGCUGAGACCAGUCGAAGAUACCAGCUGGCUGCAACUGUUUAUUAAAAACACAGCACUGUGCAAACACGAAAGUGGACGUAUACGGUGUGACGCCUGCCCGGUGCCGGAAGGUUAAUUGAUGGGGUUAUCCGUAAGGAGAAGCUCUUGAUCGAAGCCCCGGUAAACGGCGGCCGUAACUAUAACGGUCCUAAGGUAGCGAAAUUCCUUGUCGGGUAAGUUCCGACCUGCACGAAUGGCGUAAUGAUGGCCAGGCUGUCUCCACCCGAGACUCAGUGAAAUUGAACUCGCUGUGAAGAUGCAGUGUACCCGCGGCAAGACGGAAAGACCCCGUGAACCUUUACUAUAGCUUGACACUGAACAUUGAGCCUUGAUGUGUAGGAUAGGUGGGAGGCUUUGAAGCGUGGACGCCAGUCUGCGUGGAGCCAACCUUGAAAUACCACCCUUUAAUGUUUGAUGUUCUAACGUUGGCCCCUGACCGGGGUUGCGGACAGUGUCUGGUGGGUAGUUUGACUGGGGCGGUCUCCUCCCAAAGCGUAACGGAGGAGCACGAAGGUUAGCUAAUCCUGGUCGGACAUCAGGAGGUUAGUGCAAUGGCAUAAGCUAGCUUGACUGCGAGCGUGACGGCGCGAGCAGGUGCGAAAGCAGGUCAUAGUGAUCCGGUGGUUCUGAAUGGAAGGGCCAUCGCUCAACGGAUAAAAGGUACUCCGGGGAUAACAGGCUGAUACCGCCCAAGAGUUCAUAUCGACGGCGGUGUUUGGCACCUCGAUGUCGGCUCAUCACAUCCUGGGGCUGAAGUAGGUCCCAAGGGUAUGGCUGUUCGCCAUUUAAAGUGGUACGCGAGCUGGGUUUAGAACGUCGUGAGACAGUUCGGUCCCUAUCUGCCGUGGGCGCUGGAGAAUUGAGGGGGGCUGCUCCUAGUACGAGAGGACCGGAGUGGACGCAUCACUGGUGUUCGGGUUGUCAUGCCAAUGGCACUGCCCGGUAGCUAAAUGCGGAAGAGAUAAGUGCUGAAAGCAUCUAAGCACGAAACUUGCCCCGAGAUGAGUUCUCCCUGAGACUUUAAGUCUCCUGAAGGAACGUUGAAGACGACGACGUUGAUAGGCCGGGUGUGUAAGCGCAGCGAUGCGUUGAGCUAACCGGUACUAAUGAACCGUGAGGCUUAACCU
rnacentral:rRNA from 1 species